rfam:Octopus bimaculoides Scaffold18646_contig_47, whole genome shotgun sequence.
CGAUGGCGUUCCCUACACUUUCCCAGUAUUGAAAGCUGUAGUUUUAGUCCAUCGUACAGUAACAAAUUUAACUUCUUCACCUUUAACUGUCCUCAAUGGUGACAGUGGGGUCACAUUGUCUUCCACAGUUAUAGUUUUGCAAGUUAAUACAUGU